rnacentral:rRNA from 1 species
CUCAGAUUGAACGCUGGCGGCAUGCCUUACACAUGCAAGUCGAACGGCAGCACGGGAGCUUGCUCCUGGUGGCGAGUGGCGAACGGGUGAGUAAUAUAUCGGAACGUACCCUAGAGUGGGGGAUAACGCAGCGAAAGUUGCGCUAAUACCGCAUACGAUCUACGGAUGAAAGUGGGGGAUCGCAAGACCUCAUGCUCAUGGAGCGGCCGAUAUCUGAUUAGCUAGUUGGUGGGGUAAAGGCCUACCAAGGCAUCGAUCAGUAGCUGGUCUGAGAGGACGACCAGCCACACUGGAACUGAGACACGGUCCAGACUCCUACGGGAGGCAGCAGUGGGGAAUUUUGGACAAUGGGGGCAACCCUGAUCCAGCAAUGCCGCGUGAGUGAAGAAGGCCUUCGGGUUGUAAAGCUCUUUUGUCAGGGAAGAAACGGUGAGGGCUAAUAUCCUUUGCUAAUGACGGUACCUGAAGAAUAAGCACCGGCUAACUACGUGCCAGCAGCCGCGGUAAUACGUAGGGUGCAAGCGUUAAUCGGAAUUACUGGGCGUAAAGCGUGCGCAGGCGGUUAUGUAAGUCAGAUGUGAAAUCCCCGGGCUCAACCUGGGAAUGGCAUUUGAGACUGCAUGGCUAGAGUGUGUCAGAGGGGGGUAGAAUUCCACGUGUAGCAGUGAAAUGCGUAGAGAUGUGGAGGAAUACCGAUGGCGAAGGCAGCCCCCUGGGAUAACACUGACGCUCAUGCACGAAAGCGUGGGGAGCAAACAGGAUUAGAUACCCUGGUAGUCCACGCCCUAAACGAUGUCUACUAGUUGUCGGGACUUAAUUGUCUUGGUAACGCAGCUAACGCGUGAAGUAGACCGCCUGGGGAGUACGGUCGCAAGAUUAAAACUCAAAGGAAUUGACGGGGACCCGCACAAGCGGUGGAUGAUGUGGAUUAAUUCGAUGCAACGCGAAAAACCUUACCUACCCUUGACAUGUACGGAACCUCUGAGAGAUUAGAGGGUGCUCGAAAGAGAGCCGUAACACAGGUGCUGCAUGGCUGUCGUCAGCUCGUGUCGUGAGAUGUUGGGUUAAGUCCCGCAACGAGCGCAACCCUUGUCAUUAGUUGCUACGAAAGGGCACUCUAAUGAGACUGCCGGUGACAAACCGGAGGAAGGUGGGGAUGACGUCAAGUCCUCAUGGCCCUUAUGGGUAGGGCUUCACACGUCAUACAAUGGUACAUACAGAGGGCCGCCAACCCGCGAGGGGGAGCUAAUCCCAGAAAGUGUAUCGUAGUCCGGAUUGUAGUCUGCAACUCGACUACAUGAAGUUGGAAUCGCUAGUAAUCGCGGAUCAGCAUGUCGCGGUGAAUACGUUCCCGGGUCUUGUACACACCGCCCGUCACACCAUGGGAGCGGGUUCACCAGAAG